rnacentral:rRNA from 1 species
GAUGAACGCUGGCGGCGUGCCUAAUACAUGCAAGUCGAGCGAACGGACGAGAAGCUUGCUUCUCUGAUGUUAGCGGCGGACGGGUGAGUAACACGUGGAUAACCUACCUAUAAGACUGGGAUAACUUCGGGAAACCGGAGCUAAUACCGGAUGAUCUUUUGAACCGCAUGGUUCAAAAGUGAAAGACGGUCUUGCUGUCACGUAUAGAUGGAUCCGCGCUGCAUUAGCUAGUUGGUAAGGUAACGGCUUACCAAGGCAACGAUGCAUAGCCGACCUGAGAGGGUGAUCGGCCACACUGGAACUGAGACACGGUCCAGACUCCUACGGGAGGCAGCAGUAGGGAACCUUCCGCAAUGGGGGAAAGCCUGACGGAGCAACGCCGCGUGAGUGAUGAAGGUCUUCGGAUCGUAAAACUCUGUUAUUAGGGAAGAACAGAUGUGUAAGUAACUGUGCACAUCUUGACGGUACCUAAUCAGAAAGCCACGGCUAACUACGUG